rnacentral:tRNA from 1 species
GCGAUGGUGGUAUAGUGGUUAACAUAGUUGCCUUCCAAGCAAUUGACCCGAGUUCGAUUCUGGGCUAUCACA